rnacentral:rRNA from 1 species
CCUACGGGUGGCAGCAGUGGGGAAUAUUGGACAAUGGGCGAAAGCCUGAUCCAGCCAUGCCGCGUGUGUGAAGAAGGCCUUCGGGUUGUAAAGCACUUUCAGUGGGGAAGAAAGCCUUGGGGCUAAUACCCUCGAGGAAGGACAUCACCCACAGAAGAAGCACCGGCUAACUCCGUGCCAGCAGCCGCGGUAAUACGGAGGGUGCGAGAGUUAAUCGGAAUUACUGGGCGUAAAGCGCGCGUAGGCGGUCUGAUAAGCCGGUUGUGAAAGCCCCGGGCUCAACCUGGGAACGGCAUCCGGAACUGUCAGGCUAGAGUGCAGGAGAGGAAGGUAGAAUUCCCGGUGUAGCGGUGAAAUGCGUAGAGAUCGGGAGGAAUACCAGUGGCGAAGGCGGCCUUCUGGACUGACACUGACGCUGAGGUGCGAAAGCGUGGGUAGCAAACAGGAUUAGAUACCCUGGUAGUC